rnacentral:rRNA from 1 species
AUUGAACGCUGGCGGCAGGCCUAACACAUGCAAGUCGAGCGAGCGGCGGACGGGUGAGUAAUGUAUGGGGAUCUGCCUGAUGGCGGGGGAUAACUACUGGAAACGGUCGCUAAUACCGCAUACCAUCAGAUGAACCCAUAUGGGCUUAUCUAGUAGGUGAGGUAACGGCUUACCUAGGCGACGAUCCCUCGCUGGUCUGAGAGGAUGAUCAGCCACACGGGAACUGAGACACGGUCCAGACUCCUACGGGAGGCAGCAGUUGGGAAUAUUGCACAAUGGGCGCAAGCCUGAUGCAGCCAUGCCGCGUGUAUGAAGAAGGCCUUCGGGUUGUAAAGUACUUUCAGUCGGGAGGCGUUACCGGCAGAAGAAGCACCGGCUAACUCCGUGCCAGCAGCCGCGGUAAUAC